GCAUCGGUGUCUCCCAGCCAUCCAGCAACUAAAGAUGGGGAAAAGUCUCAUCAAGGACGCCGCCACCGCUGUGAUUUCUGGUUGGGGUCUUCCAGCUAUCCAGCAACUAAAGAUGGCGAGAAGUGGCUUCAUGGACGCCGCCACCGCUGUGAUUUCUGCGACUACGAAACUGAUAGACUGGGCAGUCUGAAAGGACACGUCAGGGUUCAUACAGGCGAGCGGCCGUUUCAUUGCCACAUGUGCCCUCAGAGGUUCUCACUAAAUUCCACAUUGAAGAAACACCUGCGCACCCACACAGGUGAGCGGCCAUAUAAAUGCCACAUAUGCUCCGACAGCUUCUCACAAUGGACAACACUGAAUGAUCACCUGUGUAUCCACACAGGCGAGAGACCAUUUAAAUGCCACCUAUGCUCAGAGACAUUUGUGCGGAAACACCGCCUCGACACACACCUCCGCCAGCAUGAACCCAAGUGACCAUUGUAAUGCGACUUCUGCUAAACCAGCUCUACUAUAAAGGAACAUUCGACUGGUUGUACGAGUGUGUAUCGACUGCAUCUAAUUAUGUGUGAAAACAUUAAAAGUGUAUGUCUAGUAUUGGCAGUGUGACAUCAUCUUUGCCACAUGAGCAUUGUUAUGCAUGCAGUGAAAUUUUGUUCCUGUACUAGAUUACUUUCUAUAACGCGAUAGCUUUAAUGAGCUCGUUUUGCAGAUACUAUUCUGGUGUCGGUGUUGGCGGCGCCGGCAGUGGCGUCUUUGGUUGCAAGUGAAAAAUCGAGGUAGAUGCAAAUAAAGAAAUAAUUUUAAAGAUCUUCAGUUCAAGUGGGACCUGGGAUUUGAACCUGCGACCCUUCGCUCCGUGGCGCGAUGCGUUUAGCUGCUUGGCUACCAUGCAUACAUCCUCUAUCACAUUAAUGGUGAGCUAUUUAUAUUAACCAUUUAGCACUGGUGAUACGCACAUCUCGGAGGUUCUUCACCAGCUUGAUUAUCACCCGUGAGAUGGCGCAAAGGGCCCAUGGGCACUAAAGAGCCUCAAUACUUCUCCUCCCCCUCUAGCGGCUGGCAGCAGGAGCAUCGAGGCACCCUCUGGUGUGCUUUCGGUGUUCCGUUGCGCCGCAUGCAUGGAUAUAGGAGCUGGCACGCAUCUGCACUUUGGCUUUCCUUUGGCUUUCCUUGUGGCACGGUUUAGGUGUUGGCCGAGAAGUGAAGCCGGGCUAGCGACUGGGAAGGUGAU